GAUGUAUCUGGGCACCAUUCCUGAGUAACUUGUGUUAAUGUUUUAAAUUUACUAAACCUGUUUUUCUCAUCUGUAACACCAGAAAUUGACCUUCCAGAGUUGGUAGGAAUCAAAUGAAAAAGCACCUCUAAGGUUUCUUGCACAUAGUAAUGAUGCAAUCAGUGAUAGCUAUAAUAAAAAGAUAGUAUUUUAAAAAGCAGCUUUAUACAUAAUUCACAUAUUCAAUUUACCUAUUUAAAGUCUAACACAGUUCAAUUUAUAUAUAGAGUUGUGCAACUUUAUCUUCCAUUGCUUAUAAUACAUUUAUAAUUUAUUGGAAAAUUUAUAAGGAAAAUGAAUUUCUUACAGUUAUGGAAGCUGAGAAAUCCUAGGUUGAGGGGCCACAUCUGGUGAGAGCCUUCUUGCUGGUGGGGACUCUGAAGAGUCCUGAGGCGGCACAGUGUAUCACAUGGCGAUUGCUAAUGUACUUAGGUCUCUUUUCCUCUUAUAAAGCCACCAGUCCACUCCCAUGAUAGCCUAUUAAUUCAUUAAUCCAUGAAUAGAUUAAUCAAUUUCUGAUGACAUAGCCCUUAUGAUCCAGUCACCUCUUAAAGGCCCCACCUCUCAAUACUGCCACAUUGGGGAUUAAAUUUCAACAUGAGUUUUGGAGGGGAUGGAUAGUCAAACCAUAGCAGCAACCAUCACCACAAUCUAGUUUUAGAAUAUGUUUGCAGUCCUAACAGAAACCUUGUACCUGUUAGUGAAUCCCCAUUAUUUCCCUCCAUUUGUUCCCCCAAGCCUAAGCAAAAAUGAAUCUGUUUUCUGUGUCUAUAAAUUUGUUUAUUC
rnacentral:lncRNA from 10 species